UGCACUUGUCAGUCGCAGCUCGCAUGUGUGAGGGAGAGGACACAUGCGAGUCUAUAGAGAGAUAGGACACUUUGUAGCUUGAAUACUCUGCUCUUUUACACCAUUUUCUCUCAUCGGGUGCGAUCAGACACACAGGCUCUGAUAACACGGAAAAAUCCAAGGCGGAAUUUGAAAUAGUUGGAGGAUAUUGACUGUAGUGGAGUGGAGUUAUAGCCUGAUGUGCAAGAAAAUGCCGCCAAUGUCAGCCCUGAAGUUUGCGUCAACUCCCAAUGAGAACAAAUUGCCACCAGACAGGAUGAGGAGCAUCAGUCAGCCUGAGAUGGAAACACGGGUGGGUGGUUGGAAGGCUGGAUAAAGGCUGGUAGAUGACUGAACUCAGAGACCCGGCGCAGCUCAUCAUCAUUGCCAUGGGCUCUCGUCUUCCUCCUCUCCUCCUGUGGCCCAUACCUCCAUCCAGGGGUGCAGCAGACCAAUGUGAAGCCCAGGCGGGGAGCUAGUGAGUGGGCUGGGAAAGAUGGAGAAGGUCCCUGAAGGCUCGAAGCACCUCUGGAGCUACCGGCAUGCAGGAGAAAUCAAUAUAAAAACACAGAGCACAGCUCUGAGUGGGGCUUCCUGUGUUAGUCUGUGGCCUAGGGGCCCGCAGACCUCCAAAGGACAGGCCCUGUGUGGCCCUCUCAGCUGCAGCCCUGGCUCCUCAGACUGGACCUCAGUCCCAAUCUUCACUGGCUGUGUGUGGUUCUGCUGAAGGGGAUCUCUCCCCAAAUAAUAUCCAGAAUGUUGAGGGACCGCCGACAGGGAUAUUCCUUUCUCUUGAUUUUUUUCCCCCCUUCAUAAGAUUGACAUAUCCCCCACCUUGUGCCUCCGGCUGUUUAAAAAAACAGUUUGGGAGUGCUGCUUUUGACUUACUCUCCAAGCUCAACUCGCCCGUUGUUUAUUCCCCAACCAGUUUUUACAUUUGACAAAGAGACAGUACCGUCUUUAUUUUCUCUUCCACUCCUGGCUUGCUGUUACUAUGUUGAGCUGUAACAUGUGUCUGUUAAAACCGAAAAGAUUACUGGCACAUGAAGUAUGAUCAUCUUUUUUUUUUUUUUCUCCGUGAUGUCUGUUAUUCAAUUCCAGACCGUUAAAGACAAAAAAAAUUGACUGAAUAAAGAGGGAAAAAGAUGGCAGAGCAGAGAGAUUUCCCACCUUGUAGUGGAGAUGGCAAAAUG